rnacentral:rRNA from 1 species
CCUACGGGUGGCAGCAGUGAGGAAUAUUGGUCAAUGGACGAGAGUCUGAACCAGCCAAGUAGCGUGAAGGAUGACUGCCCUAUGGGUUGUAAACUUCUUUUAUCAAGGAAUAAAACGAGGCACGUGUGCCUUUUUGCAUGUACUUUAUGAAUAAGGAUCGGCUAACUCCGUGCCAGCAGCCGCGGUAAUACGGAGGAUCCGAGCGUUAUCCGGAUUUAUUGGGUUUAAAGGGAGCGUAGAUGGGUUGUUAAGUCAGGUGUGAAAGUUUGGGGCUCAACCGUAAAAUUGCAAUUGAUACUGGCAGUCUUGAGUACAGUUGAGGUAGGCGGAAUGCGUGGUGUAGCGGUGAAAUGCUUAGAUAUCACGAAGAACCCCGAUUGCGAAGGCAGCUUACCAAACUGUGACUGACACUGAUGCUCGAAAGUGUGGGUAUCAAACAGGAUUAGAUACCCGAGUAGUC